CCUACGGGAGGCAGCAGUGGGGAAUAUUGGACAAUGGGCGAAAGCCUGAUCCAGCCAUGCCGCGUGUGUGAAGAAGGCCUUCGGGUUGUAAAGCACUUUCAGUGGGGAAGAAAGCCUUGGGGCUAAUACCCUCGAGGAAGGACAUCACCCACAGAAGAAGCACCGGCUAACUCCGUGCCAGCAGCCGCGGUAAUACGGAGGGUGCGAGCGUUAAUCGGAAUUACUGGGCGUAAAGCGCGCGUAGGCGGUCUGAUAAGCCGGUUGUGAAAGCCCCGGGCUCAACCUGGGAACGGCAUCCGGAACUGUCAGGCUAGAGGGCAGGAGAGGAAGGUAGAAUUCCCGGUGUAGCGGUGAAAUGCGUAGAGAUCGGGAGGAAUACCAGUGGCGAAGGCGGCCUUCUGGACUGACACUGACGCUGAGGUGCGAAAGCGUGGGUAGCAAACAGGAUUAGAUACCCUUGUAGUC
rnacentral:rRNA from 1 species